ensembl:lncRNA SNHG31 small nucleolar RNA host gene 31
AGGAGAGCGGGCGGGGCCUGAAGCCCCUCUGGGCUGCCUGGACGGAUGAAGUCCAGGUGGAAAGCCAGUCGACGUUUCCCGGGAGCUACGACUCCAGGGACCCUCAUCCGAGCUUAACCGUUGGAACAAUCACAAACCCAGAAACUUUUAGCUGAGUGUUAUUUAUAAAAAGCGCUGUUUUGACUGCUGUUGGACUUGGAAAAGCUUUGCCCACGAUACUGAAGCGUAAUUAGCUGCCUACUUUUCAAAAUUAUGUGAUGACUUCAUGGGAAAAGAGAUUCACAAGAACCAGUAACAGGAAAGCUUAAAUAAGCUUGGAAAUCUUUAAACUUUCAAUAUCGCGUGGGAAGAUGUGCCUUGCUUUUCCUUCGCCUUCCUCCAUGAUCAUAAGUUUCCUGAGGCCUCCCAGUUAUGCUUCCUGUUAAGCCCGCAGAACUGAAAAUGCCAAAGCAAUUGGGGAAAAAAAUACUGUUUUCUCUGAAAUGAAGACUCCUCAAGAUCCUGUUGCUGGAAUGAGUAUUGGACUCUUCGGUCUACUUCUACAGUCACCAGUACAUCUGGCAUACACUAUGAUGCCCAACAGUAGGAAGAUGAAAGAAAUGUAGAUGUUGGCAUUUCUAAAAGAGAUGUUGUAUCUUUUUUCCUACUUAAUAGACUAUUAGGCUAUAAAUCUCAAUCUUGGCCAGCAAAUGUGUUUGCCAGCUUUUCUUUAUUCUUUUUAAUUUUUUUGAGGAUCAGCAUGGAAAAACAAUUUGCGCAAGGCUCAAGAAGAUGAGAUGGUCUUAUAAACAGUAAUUGAAAUAUGUAUAUUUUUUAAAAGUCUGUUUCAAAUUUCAAACCUUAUUUUAAAAACUAUGUGAAAGCCUCUUGUGAAACUCAACUGAAGUAGGCAUGGCUGAGUCCAGAGGAGCAGUGUGGAGGAUUAGAAAAAUAAACAGGCAGGAGUCAGACAGUCCUGGAUUCAAAUCCCACUUCUAGGCCUUAGAGAAAUAAUAUAAUAGUAGGGGAUAAUAAUAUUCACCCUGAAGAGUGCUGUAGGGAUCAUCAAUAUUUCAUAUAAAGCAUGUCAUAUGGGCAGUGCUCAAUGAAUGGCAAUGCUUUUGCCCAGGUAUAGAACUUCUUAGUAUAAAAGUUUUGUCUUUCAGAAAAUUAACAAAGAUAUUCAGGACCGGAAUUCAGCUCUGGAUCAAGUAGACCUGAUAGAUAUCUACAGAACUUUCUAUCCCAAAACAACAGAAUGUACAUUUUUCUCAUUGCCACAUGUCACUUACUCUAAAAUCGAUCACAUAAUCGGAAGUAAAACACUCCUCAGUAAAUGCAAAAGAACUGAAAUCAUAACAAACAGUCUCUCAGACCACAGUGCAAUUAAAUUAGAAUUCAAGAUUAGGAAAUUCAGUCAAAACCACACAACUACAUGGAAAUUGAACAACCUUUUCCAGAAUGACUCUUGGGUAAAUAAUGAAAUUAAGGCAGAAAUCAAGAAGUUCUUUGAAACUAAUGAGAAAAAGAGAGAAUGUACCAGAAUCUCUGGGACGCAGCUAAAGUAGUGUUAAGAGGGAAAUUUAUAGCACUAAAUGCCCACAUCAAACAGCUGGACAGAGCUCAAGUUGAUAACCUAACAUCUUAACUAAAAGAACUUAGAGAACCAAGAGCAAAUAAACCCCAAAGCUAGCAGAAGAUAAGAAAUAACCAAGAUCAGAGCUGAACUGAAGGAGAUAGAGACACAAAAAAUCCUUAAAAAAAUCAACGAAUCCAGGAGCUGUUUUUUGAAAAAAUUAAUAAAAUAGACAACUAGCUAGACUAACAAAUAAGAAAAGAGAGAAGAGUCAAAUAAACACAAUGAAAAAUGAUAAGGGGGAUAGUACCGCUGACCCCAUAGAAAUACAAACAACCAUCAGAGAAUACUAUGAACACCUCUAUGCAAAUAAACUAGAAAAUGUAGAAAAAAUGGAUAAAUUUCUGGACACAUAUACCCUCCCAAGACUGAGCCAGGAAGAAAUUGAAUCCCUGAAUAGACCAAUAACAAGUUCUGAAAUUGAGGCAGUAAUAAAAAACUUACCAACCAAAAAGAGCCCAGGACCAGAUGGAUUCACAGCUGAAUUCUACCAGAGUAUAAAGAAGAGCUGGUACAAUGUCUGCUAAAAUUAUUCCAAAUAAUUGAAAAGGAGAGACUCCUCCCUAACUAAUUCUAUGAGGCCAGCAU